GCCUGGGUGGCUCAGUCGGUUAAGCGUCUGACUUCGGCUCAGGUCAUGAUCUCACGGUUUGUGGGUUCGAGCCCCGCAUCGGGCU
rnacentral:tRNA from 1 species